GAUGAACGCUGGCGGCGUGCCUAAUACAUGCAAGUCGAGCGAACAGACGAGGAGCUUGCUCCUCUGACGUUAGCGGCGGACGGGUGAGUAACACGUGGAUAACCUACCUAUAAGACUGGGAUAACUUCGGGAAACCGGAGCUAAUACCGGAUAACAUGUUGAACCGCAUGGUUCAACAGUGAAAGACGGUCUUGCUGUCACUUAUAGAUGGAUCCGCGCCGCAUUAGCUAGUUGGUAAGGUAACGGCUUACCAAGGCAACGAUGCGUAGCCGACCUGAGAGGGUGAUCGGCCACACUGGAACUGAGACACGGUCCAGACUCCUACGGGAGGCAGCAGUAGGGAAUCUUCCGCAAUGGGCGAAAGCCUGACGGAGCAACGCCGCGUGAGUGAAGAAGGUCUUCGGAUCGUAAAACUCUGUUAUUAGGGAAGAACAAAUGUGUAAGUAACUAUGCACGUCUGGACGGUACCUAAUCAGAAAACCACGGCUAACUACGU
rnacentral:rRNA from 1 species